rnacentral:rRNA from 1 species
AGUGGUAACGGCACCCCAUGGCAACGAUAGGUAGGGGUCCUGAGAGGGAGAUCCCCCACACUGGUACUGAGACACGGACCAGACUCCUACGGGAGGCAGCAGUGAGGAAUAUUGGACAAUGGACGCAAGUCUGAUCCAGCCAUGCCGCGUGCAGGAAGACGGCCCUAUGGGUUGUAAACUGCUUUUAUACAAGAAGAAUAA